rfam:Selaginella moellendorffii unplaced genomic scaffold SELMOscaffold_171, whole genome shotgun sequence.
GCUGGUUUGCCCGAGUGGUCUAAGGGGGGUGACUUAAGAUCACCUGCAUUCCAAUGCGCGUGGGUUCGAACCCCACAGCCAGCA